GGGUUGUGAGGUUAAGCGACUAAGCGUACACGGUGGAUGCCCUGGCAGUCAGAGGCGAUGAAGGACGUGCUAAUCUGCGAAAAGCGUCGGUAAGGUGAUAUGAACCGUUAUAACCGGCGAUGUCCGAAUGGGGAAACCCAGUGCAAUUCGUUGCACUAUCGUUAACUGAAUACAUAGGUUAACGAGGCGAACCGGGGGAACUGAAACAUCUAAGUACCCCGAGGAAAAGAAAUCAACCGAGAUUCCCCCAGUAGCGGCGAGCGAACGGGGAGCAGCCCAGAGUCUGAAUCAGCUUGUGUGUUAGUGGAACGGUCUGGAAAGUCCGACGGUACAGGGUGAUAGUCCCGUACACCAAAAUGCACAGGUUGUGAACUCGAAGAGUAGGGCGGGACACGUGGUAUCCUGUCUGAAUAUGGGGGGACCAUCCUCCAAGGCUAAAUACUCCUGACUGACCGAUAGUGAACCAGUACCGUGAGGGAAAGGCGAAAAGAACCCCGGCGAGGGGAGUGAAAAAGAACCUGAAACCGUGUACGUACAAGCAGUGGGAGCACCUUCGGGUGUGACUGCGUACCUUUUGUAUAAUGGGUCAGCGACUUAUAUUCUGUAGCAAGGUUAACCGUAUAGGGGAGCCGCAGGGAAACCGAGUCUUAACUGGGCGUUAAGUUGCAGGGUAUAGACCCGAAACCCGGUGAUCUAGCCAUGGGCAGGUUGAAGGUUGGGUAACACUAACUGGAGGACCGAACCGACUAAUGUUGAAAAAUUAGCGGAUGACUUGUGGCUGGGGGUGAAAGGCCAAUCAAACCGGGAGAUAGCUGGUUCUCCCCGAAAGCUAUUUAGGUAGCGCCUCGUGAACUCAUCUUCGGGGGUAGAGCACUGUUUCGGCUAGGGGGUCAUCCCGACUUACCAACCCGAUGCAAACUACGAAUACCGAAGAAUGUUAUCACGGGAGACACACGGCGGGUGCUAACGUCCGUCGUGAAGAGGGAAACAACCCAGACCGCCAGCUAAGGUCCCAAAGUCAUGGUUAAGUGGGAAACGAUGUGGGAAGGCACAGACAGCCAGGAUGUUGGCUUAGAAGCAGCCAUCAUUUAAAGAAAGCGUAAUAGCUCACUGGUCGAGUCGGCCUGCGCGGAAGAUGUAACGGGGCUAAACCAUGCACCGAAGCUGCGGCAGCGACACUAUGUGUUGUUGGGUAGGGGAGCGUUCUGUAAGCCUGCGAAGGUGACCUGUGAGGGUUGCUGGAGGUAUCAGAAGUGCGAAUGCUGACAUAAGUAACGAUAAAGCGGGUGAAAAGCCCGCUCGCCGGAAGACCAAGGGUUCCUGUCCAACGUUAAUCGGGGCAGGGUGAGUCGACCCCUAAGGCGAGGCCGAAAGGCGUAGUCGAUGGGAAACAGGUUAAUAUUCCUGUACUUGGUGUUACUGCGAAGGGGGGACGGAGAAGGCUAUGUUAGCCGGGCGACGGUUGUCCCGGUUUAAGCAUGUAGGCUGGUUGUCCAGGCAAAUCCGGAUAAUCAAGGCUGAGGUGUGAUGACGAGGCACUACGGUGCUGAAGUAACAAAUGCCCUGCUUCCAGGAAAAGCCUCUAAGCAUCAGGUAACAUCAAAUCGUACCCCAAACCGACACAGGUGGUCAGGUAGAGAAUACCAAGGCGCUUGAGAGAACUCGGGUGAAGGAACUAGGCAAAAUGGUGCCGUAACUUCGGGAGAAGGCACGCUGGUGUGUAGGUGAAGUCCCUGCGGAUGGAGCUGAGACCAGUCGAAGAUACCAGCUGGCUGCAACUGUUUAUUAAAAACACAGCACUGUGCAAACACGAAAGUGGACGUAUACGGUGUGACGCCUGCCCGGUGCCGGAAGGUUAAUUGAUGGGGUUAUCCGUAAGGAGAAGCUCUUGAUCGAAGCCCCGGUAAACGGCGGCCGUAACUAUAACGGUCCUAAGGUAGCGAAAUUCCUUGUCGGGUAAGUUCCGACCUGCACGAAUGGCGUAAUGAUGGCCAGGCUGUCUCCACCCGAGACUCAGUGAAAUUGAACUCGCUGUGAAGAUGCAGUGUACCCGCGGCAAGACGGAAAGACCCCGUGAACCUUUACUAUAGCUUGACACUGAACAUUGAGCCUUGAUGUGUAGGAUAGGUGGGAGGCUUUGAAGCGUGGACGCCAGUCUGCGUGGAGCCAACCUUGAAAUACCACCCUUUAAUGUUUGAUGUUCUAACGUUGGCCCCUUACCGGGGUUGCGGACAGUGUCUGGUGGGUAGUUUGACUGGGGCGGUCUCCUCCCAAAGCGUAACGGAGGAGCACGAAGGUUAGCUAAUCCUGGUCGGACAUCAGGAGGUUAGUGCAAUGGCAUAAGCUAGCUUGACUGCGAGCGUGACGGCGCGAGCAGGUGCGAAAGCAGGUCAUAGUGAUCCGGUGGUUCUGAAUGGAAGGGCCAUCGCUCAACGGAUAAAAGGUACUCCGGGGAUAACAGGCUGAUACCGCCCAAGAGUUCAUAUCGACGGCGGUGUUUGGCACCUCGAUGUCGGCUCAUCACAUCCUGGGGCUGAAGUAGGUCCCAAGGGUAUGGCUGUUCGCCAUUUAAAGUGGUACGCGAGCUGGGUUUAGAACGUCGUGAGACAGUUCGGUCCCUAUCUGCCGUGGGCGCUGGAGAAUUGAGGGGGGCUGCUCCUAGUACGAGAGGACCGGAGUGGACGCAUCACUGGUGUUCGGGUUGUCAUGCCAAUGGCA
rnacentral:rRNA from 1 species